CCUGACAGCCACCCAGGCCCUGUUGACAAACGUGUUCUUUAUAACGACCCGUCGUUGGAGUCGAGUGUCGCUGCCCCUGGACAGACGGCUGGAAACCGCAGAAAGAAGCGCAAUAGUGGUUAAUUUAUGUGCCCUUCAACGUCCUGCCUCUGAGCUGUGAUCCCUGGCCAGCAGAAUCCACAUCACUUGGAAGGUGACGAAAAAUGGCACAACUCCUGCUCCACCGACCCACCAGGUCAGACUCUGCAGCUGAGAGCCCCAGGUGUAUUUUCAUGAAAGGAUGACCCCGUCACCAACACCUGGGAAGCUGUGAGCAGUGCAGGUGCUGGGGCCCAGCAGUGUCCUGAUGAGCACCCUGCGGUCCUCCUGUCCGAAGUCUGAGAACCCCUGAACGAGGUACCGAAGGCACAGAUAGGGCUGAGCCACACCCCCUCCGUCUGGUCGAGAGGGUGAUGCAGACCUGUGUAGAUACAGGCAUCACAGGUGGAUUCGAAGCAAGAUGUGGUGAAC